CAGCUCCGGACAGGAGGGAGACUCUGGCAGCUCCGGACAGGAGGGAGACUCUGGCAGCUCCGGACAGGAGGGAGACUCUGGCAGCUCCGGACAGGAGGGAGACUCUGGCAGCUCCGGACAGGAGCGAGACUCUGGCAGCUCCGGACAGGAGGGAGUCUCUGGCAGCUCCGGACAGGAGGGAGUCUCUGGCAGCUCCGGACAGGAGGGAGUCUCUGGCAGCUCCGGACAGGAGGGAGACUCUGGCAGCUCCGGACAGGAGGGAGACUCUGGCAGCUCCGGGCUGGGGAGAGGCACAGGAUUCACCGGGCUGGGGAGACAUCCAGGAGGCCUCUUCCUUGGCCGAGGCACCGGAUACACUGGGCCGUGGAGGCGCACUGGUGGUCUCGAGCGCAGAGCUGGUCCCACCCGAUCUGGCUGGAUGCCAGCUUCCACCCGGCAAAUGCGGGACGCUGGCACCGAGCACACCGGCCUGUGAAUGCUCCACCUCGACACCGUGAGCAUCACCCCAUAGCACGGGGCCUGACCAGUCCCAUGCUCUCUACGGUAAGCACGGGGAGUUGGCGCAGGUCUGCUUCCUGACUCUGCCACACUCCCCAUGUGCCUCCCCCCAAAAAUGUUUUUUGGGGGGGCUGCCUCUCGGGCUUCCUUGCCAGCCUUUCUCCAGCUGCCUCUGCUCUCCUAGCUGCCUCCACCUGUUCCCAUGGAAGGUGAUCCCUUCCCUCCAGGAUCUCCUCCCAUGUGUAGACUCCCUUGCCAUCCAGAACAUCCUCCCAUGUCCAGGAGUCCACCUUACCAUGCUGCUUGGUCCAUUGGUGGUGAGAAGUUCUGUCACAGCUGGCUGAAGGACUGGACCAAGGUGCAGCAUGUUGCUCAGUCUGCCUGUCUACGCCGGUGGCAGACGAUGCGACUGGGCCCCAUGCCAGACAGAGUCGGAGCCAGAGCCCAGAGCUGGGAGCCACAGUUCCCCGGUACCUCGCCAUCUUCCAUCCCUGCACUUCAGUAAAUGAGCCCACAGCUAGACAGGAAGCUACAGGCUGAGCCAUCGGCAUUGAUCCCUCUUCCUCUACUCCAGCCAAUCAGGGGAGGGUUAGGAGACAGUGGUGGAGGUGGCGUAGGUGGUGUGUAUGUGUGUGUGUGGAAGGGGGGUGAGUUAGCCUACAUCGUGGAGGCAUACUUCUUAAGUGUCUGGGAGUCAGCCUGGCUUAGGUAAGAAAGAGGGAGUCUGUAAGGUUAGUGUAACAUUAUGUUUGAGUGUUUUUCUAUACCACCAACCACCCAACAAAUCAGACCGAUAAGUCUGCAGACAGCUGGGAUUAUUGACCUAUCUGGUAUAAUGGAGCAGUAAUGUAACAGGACUUUUAAAAAGUACAUAUGGGUUCAAAAUCUGUCUCCUGUUGGGUCAUGUUCUGGGUCUUUCCUUUGAGAUUUUAAGUAGACAUUGUGCAUCAAUAUUGAUAUUAAUAAUAAAG
ensembl:lncRNA